rnacentral:rRNA from 1 species
AUGUCCUUCCACCAGAUUCUUAUUCAUGUAGUCAACUGGAGGCAGUUUCACUGGGUAACCAUUCUCCUCGCAGGUGGCGGCCGGAGUUUGCAGUUGCAGGAAGCAAUGUCGUUGCUCAACGUUGGGAGAUUUAAUUUGAUGUGUGGCAAUAUCGACCCAGCACCGCUCUCAGGACAUGUCUCUCCCUCGAUCGAUGCUUGCGUCUCUAGGUCAUGCACGUUUCAUACUGCAGCCCAAGACGCCGUAGUAGACCGGAGAAAGAUGAUACAUCUCAAGCUGUUGUUUCCCAGAAGGGUCGUCUCCUAA